UAAAUGAUAGCAUUAGUGCAUAUAGUGGAGAUGUCUCUGUCCAAGUUUUGGAUGAUGAAGAAGAUGACAGACACUCAAACCCUAAUGUUUCAUGUCAGAAUGAGAAAUCAGACUCCAUUUCUGUUCCGAAGUUGGCAGACUCCUCUAAUCCUGACAAUAUAAGGGAGAAAUCUUUGGGGUUUCUUACACAAUUUUAUUAAGCUCUUCCUCUGCACUAAUGUAGAUAUGAUUUACCUUGAUGAAGCUGCAAAGAUAUUACUGGAAGAUAGAAGACCUCCAUCAAUAAAUAGAAAUAAAGUUCAGUGAAUUUGUUGCAAGACACAUUGGGGAGGAAGAAGAGAUUAUAUUGGAAGUUGAGACAGGAGAUUAUCUUGGAAAACACAGAGGUUUUUGGUUCUACACUAUUGGCCAACGACAAGGUUUACGACUUCUCGGAGGACCCUGAGCAGAAAUGUCAAUGGAUGCUCAUUUGUCAUAAAGUUACAAAACAGAGUUUAAGAUGAAUUUCAUAAAUCCAAAGGUCUUAUUCUUGUAACGUCUGAUGUGCCUGUCCGGGGAGUAGAUUAUCCCAAUGUUACCCUUGUUAUACAGAUUGGCCUGCCAUCUCAUAGACAUCAAUAUAUCUAUCGACAUGGUCGAACUGGGCGAAAAGGUUAAGAGGGGCAAGGAAUAUUGGUGUUGGCUCCUUGGGAGGAAUUCUUCUUGUCCACAAUCAAAGAUUUACCAAUGACAAAGGCAGAUGUGGAGAUGAAAAACAAAAAGUCUGCAUACCAGGCAUGGCUUGGCUAUUAUAGUUCCAAUAAGACUGUGGGCAGGGACAAGUGCAGACUUGUGGAGCUUGCAAAUGAGUUUAGUCGAAGCAUGGGGCUUGACAACCCUCCAGCAAUUCCUAAACUCGUCAUUGGUAAGAUGGGGCUAAGACAUAUUCCGGGCUUGCGUUCAAAGUAGGAAUAGGCUAAUACACACUGCAGAAUUGAAUACUCAGGUUUUGCAAAUUUUUGGAUGUUUCUACUGAAAUUAUGCUAUUUUAGAUUAUUACCUAGUGAUUUACAUAAUUGAUGUAUGGUUUUAUACUUUGACUACCAAUGUAUUUUAUGCUUGAGAUUUAGAGCUGCAAUUUGAUGAUACAAUGAUAUCAAAUA